CCCAAUUCGAUAGGAUGAAGACUCUCUCAGGCUGGCGGGCACUAGAGCAGACAUAUGAGGGUACCAGACAAACAUAGGAGGGUCUGCUGAAAGAAUGAACAGCAGCAGGCUGGUGAAAAAGGGAGCACAAAAGGAAAGCAAUGCCCUCUGGAUGCCGCUGGUCAGACAGGUGACAUGUACGCAGAGGCCACCUGCACGACCCCCCGCCGCCAUUA